rnacentral:tRNA from 1 species
CGCGGGGUGGAGCAGCCUGGUAGCUCGUCGGGCUCAUAACCCGAAGGUCGUCGGUUCAAAUCCGACUCCCGCAACCA